GUGAAUCAUCGAAUCUUUGAACGCAAAUUGCACUCUCUUCGGAGAGUAUGCCUGUUUGAGGGUCAGUAUUAAUAAAAAUCGGUGUGUUGCUUCUUUGUGACGCUCCGGAGUUUGGGUCAUCUUAAUAUCCUUUAGGUUUUAAGAGGCUUAAAAUUGACUUUUUUUGCGCUUUUUGGUGUUCAUUAAUUUUUUUUUUUAUUUGUUUGGUUUUAUUCCCAAAAUUCUUUUUAGUUCC
rnacentral:misc_RNA from 1 species